AUUGAACGCUGGCGGCAGGCCUAACACAUGCAAGUCGAGCGGAUGAAGGGAGCUUGCUCCUGGAUUCAGCUGCGGACGGGUGAGUAAUGCCUAGGAAUCUGCCUGGUAGUGGGGGAUAACGUCCGGUAACGGGCGCUAAUCCCGCAUACGUCCUGAGGUAGAAAGGGGGGGAUCUUCGGACCUCACGCUAUCAGAUGAGCCUAGGUCGGAUUAGCUAGUUGGUUGGGUAAAGGCCUACCAAGGCGACGAUCCGUAACUGGCCUGAGAGGAUGACCAGUCACACUGGAACUGAGACACGGUCCAGACUCCUACGGGAGGCAGCAGUAGGGAAUCUUGGACAAUGGGCGAAAGCCUGACCCAGCAACGCCGCGUGUGUGAAGAAGGUCUUCGGAUUGUAAAGCACUGUAAGUUGGGAGGAAGGGAAGUAAGUUUAUCCCUUGCUGUUUUGACGUUACCAACAGAAUAAGCACCGGCUAACUUCGUG
rnacentral:rRNA from 1 species